AUGUCCAGGUUUCGUUUCCAAUGCUUAUGGGCCAAAUCAUUUUGAGCCGGUCUCUCAGUAGGUCUGUGUCCAUUUCUGUAGAUACGGAAGAGGACACCAGCCUCAGGGCUGAGGUGGGGAUUAAAUGCAUCAAUGCGCUUCAGUGACUGAAAUAGAAUCUGCCAUCAACCAAUCCAGGAGGGUCUGAAUAGAACAAAAGGGCAGAGGAAGGGCGACUCUGUGACUGUGUGAGCUGGGACAGCAUCGCCUCCCCUCAGGCAUCCGCUCCCCAGCUCGCAGACCUUUGGACUUGGACCGAACAACACCAGCAGCUUUGCUGGGCCUCCAGCUCGCGGACGGCAGGUUCUCAGCCUUCGUAAUCACACGGGCCAGUCCCUCGUGAUGAAUCUUCCACGUAUCCAGACGGUUCUCUGCAGAAGCCUGAGUAACGGAGCACUGCUGUGGUAACCCACGCCAGGCAGGCUCCAGCCAGCAUCCGGGGGUGUCACUGCCCAGCGUCCCCCUGUGACGUCCCUCCCACACCACAGGCCAGUAACCGGCGGCACCUGCCCCUCCUUCCCUCCCCCUGAGGCUGAGCACCAUCGGUCACAGCAGAAGCCAGCUCCAGCAGAAGCCAGCCCCGUCCUUCCCCUCGUGCUGGUUUUCUCUCCUGUCUUCCUCCCCACCCCCAGGAUGUGGCCCGGGGUCACAUCUCACUCGGUCUUCACGCAAGCCUUCGUCUCUCUCAGAGUCGGCUUUGGCCCAGGAAGAGCCCUGCACAGGCUGAGGCCAGGAGCCAGACUGUGUACAAGGAAGCGUGCGGUGUGUCAGUGCUAAGGAGCCAAAGAAAGCAGAGAAGAGAUGUCCUGGGUUGGAGAUGCUGUGGUGGCUCCUCGGUGGUCCGCACACCUGGAGACCCUUGGCGCGUCUCUCGGAGGAGAGUUCUCCAGGCAGAGGGGAGGCAUGGGGAGGCGUCCCAAGUGCAUUCUCUGUGUUUGAAGAAUGGCACGGUGAGAGGACAGCCACAGGUUGGAUCACAGAGGCUGUAGGGGUGCACAUUCUGGAGGGCCGGUUUGGUGCCCUGGAGACUGUGGCUUUAACUCCAACGCUGAAGCCACCAGGGAUUUGGGUAAAAGGGAGACAUAGUGGGACCCAGCUUGUCAGAGACAACCAUGUCAGUGCUGGAUCUGCAUGCCAGAGGAUGGAGGGUGAGGUCACCAAGUGGUUAAGAGGGCGUUCUGGGAAUCCGGGGAGAGCAGACGGUGCUGCCCAGAGCCUCAGGGACAGCAACGGCCAGCAGAAUGCCAAAGGUUCCCCCGCCAACAGCCUCUGGAGCAGGUGGCCGGUGUCCAGCUGCAUGCAGUGCCUCAGGGGUGGGCAGGGAGCACCUGGGGCUGGACUGCAGCCAGGCCCGCAUCCAGCCUUGUGGACGAGGAGGAAGGACACAGGACAAGGGAGUCACAGAUGCUUCAUGGCACGAACUGGGAAGGGACACGGAGACACCAGCUGGCACAGGUGACCCAAUGACCCAGUAGGUGCGCUGAGGGGAGGGGGCUUUAGAACUGGGGGUUCUGAGUGUUUGUUCCCCGAAACCCCUGUGUCGGCUCCAUGUCACUGAGCCAUCGCCUGCCUGGCAGUCUGGAGAGGGUGCAGGGCCGAGUCUCCACAGCUUGAACACUCGGCCAACACACUUGGCGAGGUGUGCCGGGAACACUGGCAAGCACGGUGACCUCUCGUGAAGUUGGGGAUCCUGUGUGCAGUUUCGGAGUUCUGAGGAGGCAGCCUUGGAAAUCCCGCAUGUAAAUCAUAAUUAACUGUGUCAAAGUGCCUUUGCAACAAAUGCAAUAUAUAGAAAAUUCAAUAAAUAGCAGCACCCUAACUUUUUAAAAUUAACUUUUCCAUUGUAUUGGCAUUGGUCCAGAGGGCAGCCACUACAUGUUACAGGACGAUAGUUGAAGAUGAAAUGUGAAGCCAAGAGUUUCAUUCAUUUAUGCAAGUCUCGGGCACAGCUAGUGUGUGUGUGUGUGUGUGUGUGUGUGUGUGUGUGUGUGUGUGAAAACACGUAGGAUUGCAUGUCGAGAGCUCCAGUCACUACCGUGAGGAGUAAGUUACCCAGAAAGACUCAAGAGUUCCUCAAAGUUCCUAAAGUGCUUAAUUAUUUUCAAGUAACUGUGUGUGAAAAAAAAGAGCUGUUUCUUGCCUUUUGUAUAACCUGAUUUUACUGCAUUAGGUUUUUAGAAUGCAUUAAGUGCAUUUUUUAAAAAAAUUUUUUAGGGAAGAUGCAUAAGAUGGCCUUUUACAGCAAACUCUGUCCAAGGUUAUAAAAAACAAGACUUGUGAGGAUAUCCACUUGUCAGCCUGGUGUUUGCUCUGUGGCAGAUGCCAUGUGGUCACUGACCAUAUUAGCUCAUACAACGCACACUUCUUGGUGCCUGGGUCUUCUUGUCUGGUAAUGGAUCUAAGUGAUAUUUUAUUUUAUUUUCUUCUUUAAUGUUUCUUUAUUUUUGAGACACAGAGAGAGAACACAAAUGGGGGGAGGGGCAGACAGGGAGGUAGAGAGAGGAUCCCAGGCAACAGUCACGCCCAAUGGAGCCCCAUGUGAGACUCCAUCUCACGGUUGUGAGAUCCUGACAUGAGCCUAACGGAGGCUUAACUGACUGAGCCACCAGGCGCCCCUCUAGGUGAUAUUUUCAUGAACACAAUCCAUCUUUUAUUUCAUGCCCACUCCAGGAACUGGUCCCCAGUGCCCCUCUCCAGACCCUGACCUGCCACGUGCCACUCUUGGUUUCCACAUACUGCUUCCAGUCCCUUCAGCCCCUUUCUGGGUCGCCCUGCAGCCCACUCCCAGCCCCCUCCAGGACCCCCGCCUUGAGAAAGGUGCAGAGAUUUCCCAUACACCCCCUGCCUCACUCGUGCACAGCCUCCCCUGUUAUCAACCAGAUGGUACAUCUGUUGGGUCCAUGAACAGUGACACAUCAUUAUCACCCACAGUUCACGGUUUACAUUAGAAUUCACUCUUGGCAUUGUAUACUGUAUGAGUUUUGACAAAUUUAGACUGACAUGUACAGAGUAGACAUUUUUUAUUUUAUUAAAAUCCGUGUAAUUAAUUUUUUCUUACAUGGCUUGGUUUUUGCUGUUGUAAAUAAAAAUAUCACCAAACCAA